rnacentral:rRNA from 1 species
GACGCACGCUGGCGGCGUGCUUAACACAUGCAAGUCGAACGGAAAGGCCCUGCUUUUGUGGGGUGCUCGAGUGGCGAACGGGUGAGUAACACGUGAGUAACCUGCCCUUGACUUUGGGAUAACUUCAGGAAACUGGGGCUAAUACCGGAUAGGAGCUCCUGCUGCAUGGUGGGGGUUGGAAAGUUUCGGCGGUUGGGGAUGGACUCGCGGCUUAUCAGCUUGUUGGUGGGGUAGUGGCUUACCAAGGCUUUGACGGGUAGCCGGCCUGAGAGGGUGACCGGCCACAUUGGGACUGAGAUACGGCCUAGACUCCUACGGGAGGCAGCAGUGGGGAAUAUUGCACAAUGGGCGGAAGCCUGAUGCAGCAACGCCGCGUGCGGGAUGACGGCCUUCGGGUUGUAAACCGCUUUCGCCUGUGACGAAGCGUGAGUGACGGUAAUGGGUAAAGAAGCACCGGCUAACUACGUG